rnacentral:lncRNA from 1 species
AUGCCUUGCCCUGCCUCAGCUCGCGCACGGUGCGCGCACCCACUGACCCGUGGUCACUGUCUGGCACUCCCUAGUGAGAUGAACCCGGUACCUCAGAUGGAAAUGCAGAAAUCACCGUCUUCUGCGUCGCUCACGCUGGGAGCUGUAGACCGGAGCUGUUCCUAUUCGGCCAUCUUGGCUCAACAUCGACAAUUCGACUUUUAUGAGAAAAAGAUGACCCAGGGCAAAUUUGGAAGGUUCCAGAGGAAGACAUUAGGCUCUAUUCUUCAGGUUAAUCACCAGGAAAAUGGCAACAACUGAAGACAGAAUAUCAGAUUUGAGACCAAAGGAGUCUGUUCUCAUCUUUCAGGUGAAUUCCAUGACCUUGAGAGCAAAUAUACUGAGUAGUAUUUAAUAAACACUCGUUGAUUACUUCGAGA